CCCAAGCAGGCUCCACACUGCCAGUGCAGAGCCCAAUGCGGGACUUGAACCCAAGAAACACAAAAUCAUGACCUGAGCCUAAAUCAAGAGUCGCCUAAACUACUGAGCCACCCAGCCACCCUGCAUAACAUGUUUUCUAAAAGGAUGUCUAGGAAAAAUCAUGCAAAAGAAGGCUUGCAGAAAUCAAGCUACAUUCAACCCAUGAAGUUACGAGCAAGCCACAAACAACUUUUGGAACAGAGGCCAGACAGGAUCAAGGCCAGCAGGAACUGACACGUCUGCCUGUUGGCCAAGGAGGCCAAAAGCCCGCCUGAGAGGGAAGAUGGCAUCUUCUCCAACCAUGCCUUCUUGGGUAUUUUACAAACACCUCCCCACCACUCCUUGACCUGUUUUUAUGCUUCAACACAUACCAAGAACAGGUGAGAUCUGUUAUAUUUCUUUCUUAGAAGUCUGGAAACUAUUCUUUGAUGGAAAAAGAGUCUAAUGAUAACUUAUGAUUUCUUCAAAAAAGAGCAUUAGCCUGAACUUAAUGUGUUUCAUCCUGUUGGAAAAAUAGAGGUCUGAUCGCAUGGUUUCAUUUCCAUGAGGUUGAAAAGGUAACAUUUACGGGAGCAUCGGGUCAGUUCAGUCGGUUCAGCAUCAGACUUUUGAUUUCAGCUCAGGUCAUGAUCUCACAGUUCAUGAGAUCGAGCCCCGUGUUGGGCUUUGCACUGACAGUGCUGAGCCUGCUUAGGAUUCUCUCUCUCCC